GUGUCAGCAGCCGCGGUAAUACGAAGGGUGCAAGCGUUAUUCGGAAUCACUGGGCGUAAAGGGUGCGUAGACGGUAUGUUAAGUUUGUUGUUAAAGGCUCCAGCCUAACUGGAGUAUUGCGAUGAAAACUGGCGUGCUAGAGGGUGAGAGAGAGAAGUGGAAUUCCCGGAGUAGCGGUAAAAUGCGUGGAUCUCGGGAGGAACACCAAUGGCGAAGGCAGCUUCUUGGCUCAUACCUGACGUUGAGGCACGAAAGCGUGGGGAGCAAACAGGAUUAGAUACCCCUGUAGUCC
rnacentral:rRNA from 1 species